rnacentral:sRNA from 1 species
GCCAAGUGUUUGUGAAGAACAGCAAGUGACUGUGGUUGGACUUGCACACCCAUGUGUUUGGGCAUUCACACACAUUGUCAAGCUCUGCAAACAAGGCUGUACUGGCUCAAGUUGGUGUGUGAGCUAUGAAAGAAGCUAUCGCUGCAGUGGGAACUUGUUUCAAUGGAAGAAAAUGCUCAGAUGGUGAAGGCCAGUAGUGCCAGCGUUCAGAGGGAUUUCAUG